UGACAAUUCUGUGGUUAAAUCUGCAGAAAGCACAGGGUCUUCAGUUGUCAAUUCUGGUAAGUAUAUUUAUCUGAUUUUUUGAAAAAUGUGAAAUGUAAAAAUAAUCUUGCUUUAUCUCCUCAUUUUUGAUUUUUGAGAUAAAACGAUUCAAAAAAGAAAGACUUUAGAAGAUGGCAUAUAAAAUUUUUAUUUAUAACUCAUGUUUCUUUUAUCUUAUGCUACUUUUCUUAUUUUUAGUGGUUACCUCAACAUCAAGCACAGGUAACAUCUGCAAAUGAGCUUUAACAGAGCUUUAAUCAAAAAUAUAUUUUUGAAUGUCAUCUAU